GCUGCCUGGAGUUUCUGUCUCUCGUUGAGGGUUUUGAGAUCCCUGCCCCGUGGAACCACCUGUGCCACGCGUGUGAGGAAACAUCAUUCCUUAAGCGGAGAAUUUCAGUCCUGAGAUUCAAGAAGACCUUCAGAAGCUUAAAAUGGAACAAAACAACUUGAAAGGAAAUGCAGAAGCCGUGGAUAUUUGUGACGUCAGAAAAGCCACCGAAAGGAUUGAACUUGGGCUGAGAAAACACGCUGAAAAUUAUUUAAAUGUUGUAAAUGGCCAAGAGUUAAAUCUUUCUUCAGCUGGUAAUAAAGAAGUAAAUUCCAAAGAGCCUCCUAAGUGGAAUCCUCCUUCUGGUGCCUGUCAGGAGCAGCUGGUUUUGCCUCGAGUUGAGCCUGUGACUGUGCAGAGGUGCAGCAGAUCAGCCCCUCGUGUGUGCCAGGGCUCUCAGCAGGUGGAAAUGGAUUUUAAAAUUAUGCUUGCCCCAGAGAACACAGAUAAUAAAGCUGGUUUAAAACAUCCCAAUGAUGAGACCAGGCUGCCACUUAUAACUAAGAAAAAAUCUGCUCCUGCCUAUUCCAGGAGUUUUCAACGAGGGCUGAAAGAGUGGCGAGGUUAAAAAGUCGGGGUGUGAGGAGACCUGAGGGGUGACGCGCAAAUCUACCUGGACUUUUUAUUAUCCUGCCAUUCCGGUAGCUGGGAAAAUUAUUAGUCAGGAUUUCAUUGUUUCAGCAAAAAUGAUGUCUUUUCUUGCUCUUUUGGUAUUAUAAAGUUGCUGAUGCUGGAUUUUAUCAUAGAAACUAAGAACAAUUAACUGUUUGCCCUUUUGGACCUUUUUGGGUCUAAUAAUAAUGCUUCAUCCUCUGGUAAGUUCUGUAGUUGUUUUAAAAUGAGGGCUGUAAUUCUGUUUGAAGCACGGAGUGGGCAUCACUUUCUUUUGCAGCCUAUAUCUGGAUAAGAGAUGAAAAAUGAUGAGUGG
rnacentral:lncRNA from 1 species